UGGGGGAUAUUGCGCAAUGGGCGAAAAGCCUGACGCAGCAACGCCGCGUGAAGGAAGACGGUUUUCGGAUUGUAAACUUCUAUCGACAGGGACGAAUAAUGACGGUACCUGGGUAAGAAGCCCCGGCUAACUACGUGCCAGCAGCCGCGGUAAUACGUAGGGGGCGAGCGUUAUCCGGAAUCACUGGGCGUAAAGGGUGAGUAGGCGGUUUGUUAGGUCACAUGUGAAAUCCCGGGGCUUAACCCCGGAACCGCAUGAGAAACCGGCAGACUAGAGUGCAGGAGAGGUAAGCGGAAUUCCUAGUGUAGCGGUGAAAUGCGUAGAUAUUAGGAAGAACACCGGUGGCGAAGGCGGCUUACUGGACUGAAACUGACGCUGAUACACGAAAGCGUGGGGAGCGAACAGGAUUAGAUACCCUGGUAGUCCACGCUGUAAACGAUGAAUGCUAGGUGUCGGGGUCGAGAGCUUCGGUGCCGGAGUUAACACAAUAAGCAUUCCGUCCU
rnacentral:rRNA from 1 species